rnacentral:misc_RNA from 1 species
GAUGAAGAACGCAGCGAAAUGCGAUAAGUAAUGUGAAUUGCAGAAUUCAGUGAAUCAUCGAAUCUUUGAACGCACCUUGCACCCUUUGGCAUUCCGAAGGGUAUGCUCGUUUGAGUGUCAUUGUACUCUCACACUUCCGAUCUUUGGAUUGGGAGCGGUGGACUUGGGUGUUGCUGCUUACUGUGGCUCACCUCAAAUCGAUUCGUGCACCUCUUGGUUGGACAUAGUACGGCGUGAUAAGUGUCUUCGCCGGCACCUCAGUAGAGGGUGGCUGAUCGGGAGCUCUGCUUCAAACCGUCCUCGGACAACAACUGACAACUUGACCUCAAAUCGAGUAGGACUACCCGCUGAUCUUAAGCAUAUCAAUAAGCGGAGGA